GACGAACGCUGGCGGCGUGCCUAAUACAUGCAAGUAGAACGCUCAGGGAGGAACUUGCUCUUCUGGAUGAGUGGCGAACGGGUGAGUAACGCGUAUGUAACCUGCCUGUAAACGGGGGAGAACACUUGGAGACGAUAGCUAAUACCGCAUAACAUUAGAUGUUGCAUGACAUUUACUUAAAAGGUGCAAUUGUAUCGCUACCAAAUGGACCUGCGUUGUAUUAGCUAGUUGGUGGGGAAACGGCUUACCAAGGCGACGAUACAUAGCCGACCUGGGAGGGGGAUCGGCCACACUGGGACUGGGACACGGCCCAGACUCCUACGGGAGGCAGCAGUAGGGAAUUUUCGGCAAUGGACGGAAGUCUGAACGAGCAACGCCGCGUGAGUGAAGAAGGUUUUCCGAUCGUAAAGCUCUGGUGUAAGAGAAGAACGAGUUGUGUAGGGGAAAGUGCACGCUGUGACGGUAUCUUACCAGAAAGCGACGGCUAACUACGUG
rnacentral:rRNA from 1 species